UGGUAUUUCAGUUCCUCAGAUCUGCGUUUUGGAGGCUAUGCUCAUCUCUGGGAAAGCUCUCAGGGAAACGUGAAAAUGGCUGAUAGGCUCAGGAGAAUUAGAAGAAAGAGGUUGGUGAAUUUCGGGAUGUUUCCAUUGACUUCUCUCAGGAGGAGUGGGAAUUCCUGGACCCUGCUCAGAGGGACUUGUACAAAGGUGUGAUGUUGGAGAACUAAAGCAACCUGGUUUCACUGGGAACCAGAAGGCCUAAACCAUCUGUAAUCUCCUUACUUGAGAAUGGGAAAGAGCCAUGGCUGGAAGAGAGAAUGGUGACAGGAACCACAAGCUUAGGUAAGUGAAAAGGAGUGAGGCAGGAGUAACACAUCAGCUGAUCAGAGAGGAGACCUGAGGUGAAGUGUCAGCUUAUAUUUUUUGACCAU